rnacentral:rRNA from 1 species
AACGAACGCUGGCGGCAGGCUUAACACAUGCAAGUCGAACGCCCCGCAAGGGGAGUGGCAGACGGGUGAGUAACGCGUGGGAACGUGCCCUUCGCUUCGGAAUAGCCCCGGGAAACUGGGAGUAAUACCGAAUACGCCGUAUUGGGAAAGAUUUAUCGGCGAAGGAUCGGCCCGCGUUAGAUUAGCUAGUUGGCGGUGUAAUGGACCACCAAGGCUACGAUCUAUAGCUGGUCUGAGAGGAUGAUCAGCCACACUGGGACUGAGACACGGCCCAGACUCCUACGGGAGGCAGCAGUGGGGAAUCUUGGACAAUGGGCGCAAGCCUGAUCCAGCCAUGCCGCGUGAGUGAAGAAGGCCUUAGGGUUGUAAAACUCUUUCGCCGGAGAAGAUAAUGACGGUAUCCGGAGAAGAAGCCCCGGCUAACUUCGUGCCAGCCGCCGCGGUAAUAC